rnacentral:rRNA from 1 species
GACGAACGCUGGCGGCGUGCUUAACACAUGCAAGUCGAACGGUGAAGCGCCUUCCUUUUUGGUGGGUGUGGAUGAGUGGCGAACGGGUGAGUAACACGUGAGUAACCUGCCCCCUUCUUCUGGAUAACCGCAUGAAAGUGUGGCUAAUACGGGAUAUUCUGGUUCUGUCGCAUGAUGGGUCUGGGAAAGAUAUUGUUUCGGUGGGGGAUGGGCUCGCGGCCUAUCAGCUUGUUGGUGGGGUGAUGGCCUACCAAGGCGGUGACGGGUAGCCGGCCUGAGAGGGUGGACGGUCACACUGGGACUGAGACACGGCCCAGACUCCUACGGGAGGCAGCAGUGGGGAAUAUUGCACAAUGGGCGCAAGCCUGAUGCAGCGACGCCGCGUGAGGGAUGGAGGCCUUCGGGUUGUGAACCUCUUUCGCCAGUGAAGCAGGCCUGCCUCGUUUGUGGGUGGGUUGACGGUAGCUGGAUAGGAAGCGCCGGCUAACUACGUG